rnacentral:rRNA from 1 species
UACGUAGGCAGCGAGCGUUGUUCGGAGUUACUGGGCGUAAAGAGUGCGUAGGCGGUUUUCUAAGUUUGGUGUGAAAUCUCCCGGCUCAACUGGGAGGGUGCGCCGAAGACUGGAAGGCUUGAGUAUGGGAGAGGUAAGCGGAAUUCCUGGUGUAGCGGUGAAAUGCGUAGAUAUCAGGAGGAACACCUGCGGUGUAGACGGCUUACUGGACCAUAACUGACGCUGAGGCACGAAAGCGUGGGUAGCAAACAGA